rnacentral:rRNA from 1 species
UACGUAGGGGGCAAGCGUUGUCCGGAAUCAUUGGGCGUAAAGCGCGUGUAGGCGGCUCGAUAAGUCUGCUGUGAAAGUCCAGGGCUCAACCCUGGGAUGCCGGUGGAUACUGUCGAGCUCGAGUCCGGAAGAGGCGAGUGGAAUUCCUGGUGUAGCGGUGGAAUGCGCAGAUAUCAGGAGGAACACCGAUGGCGAAGGCAGAUCUCUGGGCCUUACCUGACGCUCAGGCGCGAAAGCUAGGGAGCGAACAGG